CAACCCUCAAGCUCAGCUUGGUGUUGGGUGUCACCUGGCAAUGGUGCACCUUAAAAUCAGUGGCAGUGCCAUCUGCCUUCAAGUGUAGUAAAACUCUCGCUUUGGAGGUUUGGAUAUGUGCUUGCCAUCAACCACUAAUAUCAAAA
rnacentral:misc_RNA from 1 species